rnacentral:rRNA from 1 species
UUUGCGGUGCUGCUAGAGAGAGGGAAAUACCUGGCUCCAUUUCGAACCCAGAAGUCAAGCCUCUCAUCGCCGAUGAUACUCUACCCGACGGGUACGGAAAAGUAGGUCAGUGCC